rnacentral:rRNA from 1 species
GAUGAACGCUGGCGGCGUGCCUAAUACAUGCAAGUCGAGCGAACGGACGAGAAGCUUGCUUCUCUGAUGUUAGCGGCGGACGGGUGAGUAACACGUGGAUAACCUACCUAUAAGACUGGGAUAACUUCGGGAAACCGGAGCUAAUACCGGAUAAUAUUUUGAACCGCAUGGUUCAAAAGUUAAAUAUGGUCUUGCUGUCACUUAUUGAUGGAUUCGCGCUGCAUUAGCUAGUUGGUAAGGUAACGGCUUACCAAGGCAACGAUGCAUAUCCGACCUGAGAGGUUGAUCGACCACACUGUAACUGCGACACGGUCCGGACUCCUACGGGCGGCAGCAGUGGGGAAUCUUCCGCAAUGGGCGAAAGCCUAACGGGACAGCGCCGCGUGAAUGAUGAAGAUCUUCGGAUCGUAAAACUCUGUUAUUAGGGAAAAACAUAUGUGUAAGUAAAUGUGCACAUCUUGACGGUACCUAGUCAGAAAGCCACGGCUAACUCCGUG